rnacentral:rRNA from 1 species
GAUGAACGCUGGCGGCGUGCCUAAUACAUGCAAGUCGAGCGAACAGACGAGGAGCUUGCUCCUCUGACGUUAGCGGCGGACGGGUGAGUAACACGUGGAUAACCUACCUAUAAGACUGGGAUAACUUCGGGAAACCGGAGCUAAUACCGGAUAAUAUAUUGAACCGCAUGGUUCAAUAGUGAAAGACGGUUUUGCUGUCACUUAUAGAUGGAUCCGCGCCGCAUUAGCUAGUUGGUAAGGUAACGGCUUACCAAGGCAACGAUGCGUAGCCGACCUGAGAGGGUGAUCGACCACACUGGAACUGAGACACGGUCCAGACUCCUACGGGAGGCAGCAGUAGGGAAUCUUCGGCAAUGGGCGAAAGCCUGACGGAGCAACGCCGCGUGAGUGAUGAAGGUCUUCGGAUCGUAAAACUCUGUUAUUAGGGAAGAACAAAUGUGUAAGUAACUAUGCACGUCUUGACGGUACCUAAUCAGAAAGCCACGGCUAACUACGUG